rnacentral:rRNA from 1 species
UGGGGAAUUUUGCACAAUGGGGGAAACCCUGAUGCAGCGACGCCGCGUGAUUUAGAAGGCCUUCGGGUUGUAAAAAUCUUUUUUAUGGGAUGAAAAUGACAGUACCAUAAGAAUAAGGUCCGGCUAAAUACGUGCCAGCAGCCGCGGUAAUACGUAUGGACCGAGCGUUGUCCGGAAUCAUUGGGCGUAAAGGGUACGUAGGCGGCCCAGUAAGUUAGAAGUGAAAUAAUAUAGCUCAACUAUAUAAAGCUUUUAAAACUGCUAGGCUUGAGAGAUGGAAGGGAAAGUGGAAUUCCUAGUGUAGCGGUGAAAUGCGCAGAUAUUAGGAAGAAUACCGGUGGCGAAGGCGACUUUCUGGUCAUCAUAUGACGAUGAGGUACGAAAGCGUGGGUAGCAAACAGG